AACGAACGCUGGCGGCAUGCCUAACACAUGCAAGUCGAACGAGACCUCCGGGUCUAGUUGCGCUCGGGGGCGUAACGCGGGGGAAGCUGCCCGUAGGUUCGGAAUACCUCCCUGUAGGGGGUGCUAAUACCGGAUAAUGUAUUCGGACCAAAGAUUUAUCGCCUUUGGAUGGGCCCGCGUUGGUUUGGCGAGUUGGUAGGGUAAAAGCCUACCAAGGCGUCGAUCCUUAGCUGGGCUGGGAGGAUGGGCAGCCACACUUGGGCUAAGACACGGCCCAGAAUCCUAGGGGAGGGAGGAGAGGGGAAUAUAGGAAGAUGGGGGGAGGGCUGAUCCAGCUAGGGCGGGUAAGUGAUGAAGGGCGUAGGGUUGUGAAGCUGGUUUACCCGGGGCGAUAAUGACGGUACCGGGAGAAUAAGCACCGGCUAACUCCGUG
rnacentral:rRNA from 1 species